GACGAACGCUGGCGGCGUGCUUAACACAUGCAAGUCGAACGGAAAGGCCCUUCGGGGUACUCGAGUGGCGAACGGGUGAGUAACACGUGGGUGAUCUGCCCUGCACUUUGGGAUAAGCCUGGGAAACUGGGUCUAAUACCGAAUAGGACCACGCGCUUCAUGGUGUGUGGUGGAAAGCUUUUGCGGUGUGGGAUGGGCCCGCGGCCUAUCAGCUUGUUGGUGGGGUAAUGGCCUACCAAGGCGACGACGGGUACCCGGCCUGAGAGGGUGACCGGCCACACUGGGACUGAGAUACGGCCCAGACUCCUACGGGAGGCAGCAGUGGGGAAUAUUGCACAAUGGGCGCAAGCCUGAUGCAGCGACGCCGCGUGAGGGAUGACGGCCUUCGGGUUGUAAACCUCUUUCAAUAGGGACGAAGCGCAAGUGACGGUACCUAUAGAAGAAGCACCGGCCAACUACGUG
rnacentral:rRNA from 1 species